rnacentral:lncRNA from 1 species
GGAUGAGGAGUUGCUGAUGAGGAUGGGGAGGAGAGGAAGGCGGACUGAGGAUGUGCACACACACACACACUGACCCUGGACGCUGCGUUCCCCUUUAAAAGUCCCAUCCCACUCGGAUACGCAGAGCUCAUGCAGGAUCUGCUGCGGCAGUGGGGGAACACUGCUGAGCUGUGCAGUUUGUGCUGCCAGCAAGCGUGCAAUGAAGAGGAGGGGGGGAGCGAGCCCGUACUGGAGGAGGAGGAGUGAGGGAGGUAGAGAGAGAGUGCAAACAAUGUCAUUCUGUUCAGGAGGCAAUGCUGCAGUCAACUUUACCACGCCAUGAAAGCACAUCAGCAGCGAUCAAGAGGCUCAGAGUGAGUGCAGAGAAGUUUUCCUCCUCUCUGUCCUGGCUGUGUGAUGCGGUGCAAGACUCGUCCGGGAGGCACUGGGUCCUGCUGCUGGUGGCGUGUGGGAACAUGCCUUGACUUGUUGUGCUGCUGCAACACAGAAGCCAGAGUGAGAAAGGAGAAGGAGCUGGUGGUCAAGCCUGGUGUGGAGUGACCUGCACCCUGGAAGAGCCCUGCAGCCUCCGGGGCAGAGAGCAGCUGCACGUGGUGGAGGUGAGGGGUGACGGAGGAGCGCCGCUGCAGCCUGAUCAUCUAUAUUACAAAAACACCACUCCUCCACAAAGCUGGGCAGGAGGAGCACGGCUGCAUCCUGAGAUGGAAAGGUGCAGCAAUGACAAGCGAGGAUCCUGCAGAGAGGACAGACGGCUGGUUUGUCGGACGCGGCUGCUGUGGGUGUUUCUCUGGCAGUGUCUUAGCUGGUUGUUGUGAGGAGUGAGAACGAAGCAAUCAGCAAGUAUACUGCCGCAGAAAUUCUUCGCAAUAAGAAGCCUGGGGAUCACGGCCAAGCGUGGGGAAAAGAAAGGAAACACAGGAGUAUCUGCUCUCAAAACGGAUCCUUCAGAUUUCACCCAGACCCGGGAUCCGGCUGCAGACUGACCGGCUGGGAGCAAGGUCUUUUUGGCUUCAACGACAAUUACAGCUGGAUAAAAACUUUUGCAGCACGAAUCUCUGCUGCCAUCUGGUGACUGCAACAAACCACCCAAGCAUUUAAUAGUAAAGGUUCUGCACUAUUUUGUAAAAGCAAGAAGUUUUCUAUAUGCUUUGACUGUUAGAUAUCUCCUGUUUAUAAAAAAAAUAAAAUUUCCA